ACACAUUCAAUGCUUAGGGAGGUACCAUGAUCAUGAAGGUGGUUUUCCCAGGCCCUGGCUUAUCCGUUGCACUUAGGAUGUGCCAAUCCCUGUGAUUUCCCCAAAUGUGAGAAUCUCAUCUGCAUAAUUUGUGGCAGUGGGGGACUGCAUUCACACUGUCCUCGG
ensembl:snRNA U1 U1 spliceosomal RNA